rnacentral:rRNA from 1 species
UACGUAGGGUCCGAGCGUUGUCCGGAAUUAUUGGGCGUAAAGGGCUCGUAGGCGGCCAACUAAGUCGGACGUGAAAUCCCCAGGCUCAACCUGGGAACUGCGUCCGAUACUGGAUGGCUUGAAUUCGGGAGAGGGAUGCAGAAUUCCAGGUGUAGCGGUGAAAUGCGUAGAUAUCUGAAGGAAUACCGGUGGCGAAGGCGGCAUCCUGGACCGACAUUGACGCUGAUGAGCGAAAGCUAGGGGAGCAAACGGG